rnacentral:rRNA from 1 species
AGUGAACGCUGGCGGUAGGCCUAACACAUGCAAGUCGAACGGCAGCACAGUAAUAGCUUGCUCUUACGGGUGGCGAGUGGCGGACGGGUGAGGAAUACAUCGGAAUCUACUUUUUCGUGGGGGAUAACGUAGGGAAACUUACGCUAAUACCGCAUACGACCUACGGGUGAAAGCAGGGGAUCUUCGGACCUUGCGCGAGUGAAUGAGCCGAUGUCGGAUUAGCUAGUUGGCGGGGUAAAGGCCCACCAAGGCGACGAUCCGUAGCUGGUCUGAGAGGAUGAUCAGCCACACUGGAACUGAGACACGGUCCAGACUACUACGGGAGGCAGCAGUGGGGAAUAUUGGACAAUGGGCGGAAGCCUGCUCCAGCCAUACCGCGUGGGUGAAGAAGGCCUUCGGGUUGUAAAGCCCUUUUGUUGGGAAAGAAAAGCAGCAGGUUAAUACCCCGCUGUUCUGACGGUACCCAAAGAAUAAGCACCGGCUAACUUCGUG